CGUUCCAUCUGGAGAAUCUGGAGACAGGUGCUGCAUGGCUGUCGUCAGCUCGUGUCGUGAGAUGUUGGGUUAAGUCCGCAACGAGCGCAGCCCUUGCCUUUAGUUGCCAGCGGUUCGGGCUGGGCACUCUAAAGGGAACUGCCGGUGUUAAACCGGAGGAAGGUGGGGAUGACGUCAAGUCCUCAUGGCCUUUAUGACCAGGGCUACACACGUACUACAAUGGCCGAUACAAAGGGCAGCGACACUGCGAGGUGAAGCCAAUCCCGUAAAAUCGGUCUCAGUCCGGAUUGGAGUCUGCAACUCGACUCCAUGAAGUUGGAAUCGCUAGUAAUCGUGGAUCAGCAUGCCACGGUGAAUACGUUCCCGGGCCUU
rnacentral:rRNA from 1 species